rnacentral:lncRNA from 1 species
AUGUCAGCCAUGUCUGUGUGCAAACACUUGGUCACAUACUCCUUCCAGGGCUGCCUGGCAAGGAGCCGCAGCACUAGGAGCAGAGAGAAGAUGCACACAGUCGCUAGCAGCCAGGACCCAGACACCAGGACCAUGGCAAGUGGCAACCCAAGAAAGAGCAGAAUGGUUCGGGGCAGCGUCAGCACGUGGCCGAAGGUGGCGGGAAUGUGCUCCUCCAUGCCCCUUGUGAUCAAAUCCAGUACCUUUUGUGGUCGCUGUCCUGGUACUGGCGGAUGUGAUAAGGAGCCAUGGGAGACUGCUGGGUGUCAAGUCUCGGCAUCUGGGAGAGAUGGCUCUACCUGCCUGCACACCUUCCCUGAGCCCUGCAGAAGAGAAAAGCAUGUCUUAGUGUUUGUCCCCGAUUCCCAGCCUGGUUGCCUGAAUGCACCUGCUAAAGACAGUGGUUCUCAACCUACAAAGGAAUGCUUCAGAAAUUCCCACUGCAAGUCACAGCUGCUCCUGCUACACAGGGAGUGCUCUGAGCCCAGCCACCUAUGA